AGGUCACUGCUAUUGGGAUUCGACUAAGCCAUGCGAGUCGUGAGGGUUCGGCCCUCGGCAGACGGCUCAGUAACACGUAGAUAAUUUGCCCUUAGGUGGAGGAUACCCUCGGGAAACUGAGAAUAAUACUCCAUAGAUCUAGACUGCUGGAAUGCUUUUAGAUUGAAAGAUUUAUCGCCUAAGGAUAAGUCUGCGGACUAUCAGGUUGUAGUCAGGGUAAAGACCUGACUAGCCUACGACGGAUACGGGUAGUGAGAGCUUUAGCCCGGAGAUGAUAUCUGAGACACGAUAUCAGGCCCUACGGGGCGCAGCAGGCGCGAAAACUUCGCACUGUGCGAAAGCACGACGAGGGAAUCCCAAGUGCUGGCUCGUAAGAGUCAGCUGUUUCUCUGUCUAAAAAACAGAGAGAGUAAGGCCUGGGUAAGACGGGUGCCAGCCGCCGCGGUAAUACCUGCAGACCAAGUGGUGGCCGCUAUUAUUGGGCCUAAAACGUCCGUAGCCGGUUCUAUAAAUGCCUGGGUAAAUCGUACGGCUUAACCGUACGAAUUCCGGGUAGACUGUUCAACUUGGGACCGGGAGAGGCUAGAGGUACUCCUGGGGUAGAGGUGAAAUUCUGUAAUCCUAGGGGGACCACCAGUGGCGAAGGCGUCUAGCUAGAACGGGUCUGACGGUGGGGGACGAAGCCCUGGGGAGCAAACGGGAUUAGAUACCCCGGUAGUCCAGGGUGUAAACGCUGCUCGCUUGAUGUUAGUCGGGCUCCGAGCCCAACUAGUGUCGGAGAGAAGUUGUUAAGCGAGCUGCCUGGGGAGUACGGUCGCAAGAUUGAAACUUAAAGGAAU
rnacentral:rRNA from 1 species